AAGUCGUAACAAGGUAACCGUAGGUGAACCUGCGGUUGGAUCAUUAAUAAAUUUAUUAAAGGUAAAGGUCUGAAAGGACCUUUACUCUUUAAACAAAUUUGUGAACUUAUUAAAGUCUUUUGGGGUAAUGAUUUUAUUGUUGCCCCAACAACUUGAACACUACAUUCUUUUAACAAGCCUUUAACAUUUUAAAUUAAAUUUAAAAAACAACUUUUGACAACGGAUCUCUUGGCUCUC
rnacentral:misc_RNA from 1 species